rnacentral:rRNA from 2 species
GGAUUAACUCCGGUUGAUCCUGCCGGCGGCCACUGCUAUCAAGUUCCGACUAAGCCAUGCGAGUCAAGGUAUCGUAAGAUGCCGGCAUACUGCUCAGUAACACGUGGAUAAUUUACCCUUGGGAAAGGGAUAACCUCGGAAAACUGAGGCUAAUACCUUAUAGUUGCUUAAAACUGGAAGGUUUAGGCAAUGAAAGUUUCGACGCCCAAGGAUAAGUCUGCGGCCUAUCAGGUAGUAGGUGGUGUAACGGACCACCUAGCCUUAGACGGGUACGGGCCCUGGGAGGGGUAGCCCGGAGAUGGACUCUGAGACAUAAGUCCAGGCCCUACGGGGCGCAGCAGGCGCGAAAACUGUGCAAUGCGCGAAAGCGCGACACGGGGAGCUUGAGUGUCUUGGCAUAGCCAAGACUUUUCUUAUACCUAAAAAGUAUAAGGAAUAAGUGCUGGGUAAGACGGGUGCCAGCCGCCGCGGUAACACCCGCAGCACAAGUGGUGGUCACUUUUAUUGAGCCUAAAGCGUUCGUAGCCGGUUUUGUAAAUCUUCAGGUAAAUCCUGAAGCCUAACUUCAGAAGGCCUGAAGAGACUGCAAAACUUGAGAUCGGGUGAGGUUAAACGUACUUUCAGGGUAGGGGUAAAAUCCUGUAAUCCUGGAAGGACGACCGGUGGCGAAGGCGUUUAACUAGAACGAAUCUGACGGUGAGGAACGAAGGCUAGGGUAGCAAACCGGAUUAGAUACCCGGGUAGUCCUAGCUGUAAACACUGCCCACUUGAUGUUGCUUUUCCGUUGAGGGAAGGCAGUGUCGGAGCGAAGGUGUUAAGUGGGCCGCUUGGGAAGUAUGGUCGCAAGACUGAAACUUAAAGGAAUUGGCGGGGGAGCACCGCAACGGGAGGAAUGUGCGGUUUAAUUGGAUUCAACGCCGGAAAACUCACCGGGAACGACCUGUGGAUGAGAGUCAACCUGACGAGUUUACUCGAUAGCAGGAGAGGUGGUGCAUGGCCGUCGUCAGCUCGUACCGUAGGGCGUUCACUUAAGUGUGAUAACGAGCGAGACCCACAUCUCUAAUUGCUAAUGUAUAUGCGAAUAUACAUGCACUUUAGAGAGACCGCCAUCGCUAAGAUGGAGGAAGGAGCGGUCGACGGCAGGUCAGUACGCCCCGAAUUUCCCGGGCUACACGCGCAUUACAAAGAACGGGACAAUGCGUUGCAACCUCGAAAGGGGAAGCUAAUCGCGAAACCCGUCCAUAGUUAGGAUUGAGGGCUGUAACUCGCCCUCAUGAAUCUGGAUUCCGUAGUAAUCGCGGGUCAACAACCCGCGGUGAACAUGCCCCUGCUCCUUGCACACACCGCCCGUCAAACCAUCCGAGUUGGUGUUGGAUGAGGCUUAAUUCGAGAGGGUUAAGUCAAAUCUGAUGUCGGUGAGGAGGGUUAAGUCGUAACAAGGUAUCCGUAGGGGAACCUGCGGAUGGAUCACCUCCA